rnacentral:lncRNA from 1 species
UGAGUUUACUCGAGUUUUAAUAUUAUUGGAUAGUAAACAUAACAGAAAUACUUGAAGUAGUUCUGCAGUGUUUUUAUCUUCUCAGGACCAUCUACACUGCUUCUGAAGCAAAUCACUUCCCUUCUUGAGUGGGAGAUAGAUGUCUUCCUAGUCACCCAGUUUUAUAACCAUCAGUAGUGACCUGUUUCCUUGGCCACAACGAGGCCCAUCAGAGUACCUCUCAGAGAUUUUAUCUUCCUGAAGCCAAAGAGGGAGGGUUUUUGUUUGUUUCUCCCUUGGGAUGAUCAUAAAUUAUAAGGAUUCAGUUCAGAAGCUGACAUGUAGAGGUACCUAGGAGAAUGCAGCCACUGAGUAGAUACAGAUAAGAGACGGAAACAAGGAGGGAAGGGUGUCGAAUUCACUGGGCUCUGACGUGGUCCACACUGGGUGUGCUUUGUUUGGUUACGUGAGCAGAUUUCUCAUUUGGCUUUCUAUAAAUCAAAGCAAAGAACUAUUAAGACCUCCUUGAAAAACUUAAUGGGAUCAAAUUUCAAAAGUUAAAUGUAUAUAAAUAUAAUUAAAAGGAAAACGAAGGCACAUGAAAGUUUUGAGAUUAGAUGCUCUUAGAAAAAGUACAAAGGCAGGUCAGGUUUUGGAUCACAGUUACCAUUUUGGUUGGAAAAGAAGCUACCACUACAAGGUGGUUUUCAUCUCCUAAUGUUUAUUUUGGAAAAGCAUAUCUGUUUGCAGUUGUAUAGAAAUUAAUAAUGUUUAUGUAAGCUCUGAUAAUAUUAAAGCAUCAUUUG